rnacentral:rRNA from 1 species
UACGUAGGGGGCAAGCGUUGUCCGGAAUCAUUGGGCGUAAAGAGCGUGUAGGCGGCUCGGUAAGUCCGCUGUGAAAGUCCAGGGCUCAACCCUGGAAUGCCGGUGGAAACUGUCGAGCUAGAGUCCGGAAGAGGCGAGUGGAAUUCCUGGUGUAGCGGUGAAAUGCGCAGAUAAUCAGGAAGAACACCAAUGGCGAAAAGCAGCUUUCUGGGACGGUACUGACGCUGAGACGCGAAAGCGUGGGGAGCGAACGGG